rnacentral:rRNA from 1 species
AGUGAACGCUGGCGGUAAGCCUAACACAUGCAAGUCGAACGGCAGCACAGAGGAGCUUGCUCCUUGGGUGGCGAGUGGCGGACGGGUGAGGAAUACAUCGGAAUCUACUCUGUCGUGGGGGAUAACGUAGGGAAACUUACGCUAAUACCGCAUCCGACCUACGGGUGAAAGCAGGGGAUCUUCGGACCUUGCGCGAUUGAAUGAGCCGAUGGCGGAUUAGCUAGUUGGCGGGGUAAAGGCCCACCAAGGCGACGAUCCGUAGCUGGUCUGAGAGGAUGAUCAGCCACACUGGAACUGAGACACGGUCCAGACUCCUACGGGAGGCAGCAGUGGGGAAUAUUGGACAAUGGGCGCAAGCCUGAUCCAGCCAUACCGCGUGGGUGAAGAAGGCCUUCGGGUUGUAAAGCCCUUUUGUUGGGAAAGAAAUCCAUCUGGUUAAUACCCGGGUGGGAUGACGGUACCCAAAGAAUAAGCACCGGCUAACUUCGUGCCAGCCGCCGCGUAA